AUUUGAUAGUUCAGUGUUCCAGCUCUAAUAAGGUAUACUAUUUUUUGUAACUUUGUUUUUUGAAAAAUUACAGACUUCUUGGUAUUUUAAAUUUUUUGAAUUCCAAAGAUUUUAUUUUUUAUAAAUCUAUUAAUUUAUCAUAUAAGCUCGAUAUACUUUGAACAUCGGCAAAAAUUGGAAGUUUUAUCAAAUUAGAGAAAAUUAUCUGAAUUAUGUCUUUGAUUUGAACUUAUAACUAGCGGAAAGGAAAUGUUCAA
ensembl:ncRNA T10B11.10 ncRNA